UGCGUGUUGUGAUGGCUCCCUCUGAUGGCAGUCGCUGGAUGCUUCAUCCACGUGUAGUGGUUUUCUUUCCUCUGCACACCUCUCAGUACAUACUCCAGCUGGGACAAUCUUUUCAGAUGAACACCCUGUUUUUAUCCCAGUCUGAUAAAUUUUUCUUGAAAAGAGGUCAAACAGGAAAGCAAACCUUCCUCUGCCUGUCUCAGUGCAAUCAUGAAGAUCACGCAAGAUAGUCCCUGUUGGAGUGUGUGUGCUUCAGCAGUGCAGAGCAUUCAAAGGCCAUCAAGCUCCAGAUGAUCCUCAGUGAGGGAUACCGCUCUCUCAGUAUUCAAGAGUCACCCUUCCACAGAGAAGCCCUAGACUGCCCAUCAGUGGAAUAUGAGAGAGAUAAAGGAGGGAGCGUCACAUGGGAAAUAGUCAAGAACUGCCUCCAAUUUGCAGCUCAGGAUUUCCAAGAGUCCUCCUGGCACAAAGUAUGAAGAGCAGACUCAAAAUUAAAAAUGGUCUUGAUAAUUGGAUGAUGGACAGAAGCCAACAACCUGCACCAGAUGCAACUCCUAUAGAAGAGGGAAAUCCUGAACUGACUGAGCGAACUCUCAGAAUUGACCAUGAUUCACAUUUUUACCCUUGACGGAAAAAGGAUUCAAGGAACACAUUACAUUUCUGUUUUAGAAAAAUAAAGUUGUAUUUUUGCAUACCUGAA
rnacentral:lncRNA from 1 species